AUCCAACUGAUGAGUCUCAAAUAGGACGAAACACGCAUCAAACUGAAU
rnacentral:hammerhead_ribozyme from 1 species